UGGAUCAGUGAAGACCACUGGUGGCAUAUGAGUCGUGGAGGAUGACUGUAGGUCUGGAAAUCUGAGGUCCAA
ensembl:snoRNA